UCAUUUAGAGGAAGUAAAAGUCGUAACAAGGUCUCCGUUGGUGAACCAGCGGAGGGAUCAUUAC
rnacentral:rRNA from 1 species